rnacentral:lncRNA from 1 species
UCUCAACCCUCCCCCUAUACCUCUAGCCAAUGUAGAAAAGUAAACGCAUAACAAUACGUACAUUUAAAAUUCAAUUCAAGAGAAGUCCGAGUCUGAUGUCAGAAGAUGUAACCAAAGAAAAUAAACAAAAUGACAAUUGUACAUAAAUAACAACAGACUACUAGCAGUUAACUGACAUGCCAGCUCCAGACUUCAAUUAAACUGAUUGAAAGAUUAUGAUUUCAUCAUAUCAAUA